GUAAAAUAAGGAGACUCACGAAUCCUCCUUGUUGAAGAGAACUGUGGCCCAGCCAGGUAUGAAGCCUGGCUCUCUGGUGAACCACAGGAGCACAAGCAAAAUGAAGAUGGCUUUAAGCUCUUACAGGGCUGGACGAACACCAACCAGGAGAAGAACUCGAAGAGCGAUGCGUUUAUGAAGGUUCCAGUGCUCCACUGCAAUGGCCACCAAGAGACCGCCCACAAACAGCAUGUUGGAGUCUUUCAAAUACUCAAUACUGACCUGAAAAAAGAAUAUUAAUAUUAAUUCAUGACAUUAAAACUAUGUCCAAAAGAAAUUAAAAUUCAUCUGAGCACACUCA